rnacentral:lncRNA from 1 species
GGUCAAACUAUAAAGCUGAAUCUAUUUGAAGAAUGAAAGUGUAAAAUCUUAUGGAUAGAGAAUGUUCACACUUUACAUGAGAAAAGGGGGAUAUGAAAUAGUAAGCUUCAAUUUUACUAUAAGAAUGUAAUAUUUUUUUAUCCAAAAGAGUUGGUAAACUCCAACAAUGUGUUCAUAAGGAAAGUACAUGAAGGAACUUUUCAACAUCUAUGGUUGACACAAAAGAAUGUGGCACGUAACUUUGAAUACAGUCAGCGGAUUGUGACAAUAAAUUUAAGAGAC